AGCCAAAUUCACUAAUUUGAAGACGUGUCCACAUACUUAUGUAUAUAUAGUGUAUUUUCUACAGAUGGUCAUACUAUCAACAAACUGUUGUUAAUAAACUGCUUGCUAGGGUUAGAAAAAGGCUUUGGUUUAGGUUUAGAAUAAGGCUUUAGUUUAGAAUAAGGCUUUAGUUUAGAAUAAGGCUUUAGUUUAGAAUAAGGCUUUAGUUUAGGUUUAGAAUAAGGCUUUAGUUUAGGUUUAGAAUAAUGCUUUAGUUUAGGUUUAGAAUAAGGCUUUAGUUUAGAAUAAGGCUUUAGUUUAGGUUUAGAAUAAGGCUUUAGUUUAGGUUU
rnacentral:lncRNA from 1 species